rnacentral:rRNA from 1 species
CAGCCGCCGCGGUAAUACCGGCGGCCCGAGUGGCGGCUACUAUUAUUGGGCCUAAAGCGUCCGUAGCCGGGCUGGUAAGUCCUCCGGGAAAUCUGGUCGCUUAACGAUCAGACUUCCGGAGGAUACUGCUGGCCUAGGGACCGGGAGAGGCCGAGGGUAUUCCCGGGGUAGGGGUGAAAUCCUAUAAUCCCGGGAGGACCACCUGUGGCGAAGGCGCUCGGCUGGAACGCGUCCGACGGUGAGGGACGAAGGCCAGGGGAGCAAACCGGAUUAGAUACCCGGGUAGUCCUGGCUGUAAACGAUGCGGACUUUGUGUCGGACAAGCUAUGAGCUUGUCCGGUGCCGGAGGGAAACCGUUAAGUCCGCCGCCUGGGGAGUACGGCCGCAAGGCUGAAACUUAAAGGAAUUGGCGGG